GCGAGAGUGGUGAAAUUGGUAGACACGCCAGACUUAGGAUCUGGUGCUUCGGCAUGGGGGUUCGAGUCCCUUCUCUCGCA
rnacentral:tRNA from 1 species